rnacentral:rRNA from 1 species
UACGGAGGGUGCAAGCGUUAAUCGGAAUUACUGGGCGUAAAGCGUGCGCAGGCGGUUCGUUAAGUCUGUUGUGAAAUCCCCGAGCUCAACUUGGGAAUUGCAAUGGAUACUGGCAGGCUGGAGUAUGGUAGAGGAAGGUGGAAUUCCCGGUGUAGCAGUGAAAUGCGUAGAGAUCGGGAGGAACACCAGUGGCGAAGGCGGCCUUCUGGACCAAUACUGACGCUCAUGCACGAAAGCGUGGGGAGCAAACAGG